UACCUGGUGAGGUUGAGAGUACCUGAAGAAUAAGCACCGGCUAACUACGUGCCAGCAGCCGCGGUAAUACGUAGGGUGCAAGCGUUAAUCGGAAUUACUGGGCGUAAAGCGUGCGCAGGCGGACUUUUAAGCCAGAUGUGAAAGCCCCGAGCUUAACUUGGGAAUUGCGUUUGGAACUGGGAGUCUAGAGUCUGUCAGAGGGGGAUGGAAUUCCACGUGUAGCAGUGAAAUGCGUAGAGAUGUGGAGGAACACCGAUGGCGAAGGCAGUCCCCUGGGAUAAGACUGACGCUCAUGCACGAAAGCGUGGGGAGCAAACAGGAUUAGAUACCCUGGUAGUCCACGCCCUAAACGAUGUCUACUAGUUGUUGGGGUAGCAAUACCUCAGUGACGCAGCUAACGCGUGAAGUAGACCGCCUGGGGAGUACGGUCGCGAACGAUUAAAACUCAAAGGAAUUGACGGGGGCCGCGACAAGCGGUGGAUUAUGUGGAUUAAUUCGA
rnacentral:rRNA from 1 species